rnacentral:rRNA from 1 species
UACGUAGGGUGCAAGCGUUAAUCGGAAUUACUGGGCGUAAAGCGUGCGCAGGCGGUUAUGCAAGUCAGAUGUGAAAUCCCCGGGCUCAACCUGGGAACUGCAUUUGUGACUGCAUGGCUAGAGUACGGUAGAGGGGGAUGGAAUUCCGCGUGUAGCAGUGAAAUGCGUAGAUAUGCGGAGGAACACCGAUGGCGAAGGCAAUCCCCUGGACAUGUACUGACGCUCAUGCACGAAAGCGUGGGGAGCAAACAGG